rnacentral:rRNA from 1 species
CGGGACGGGUGAGUAACGCGUGGGUAACCUGCCUUAUACAGGGGGAUAACGGUCAGAAAUGGCUGCUAAUACCGCAUAAGCGCACAGAGCUGCAUGGCUCAGUGUGAAAAACUCCGGUGGUAUAAGAUGGACCCGCGUUGGAUUAGCUAGUUGGUGGGGUAACGGCCCACCAAGGCGACGAUCCAUAGCCGGCCUGAGAGGGUGAACGGCCACAUUGGGACUGAGACACGGCCCAG